CUUCUACAGCCAGGAAUGCGAGGGCCCAUGGAGGGCAGUGGGAGCAAGACUGGGCCCAGACAUGGGAGCACACAGGCUUAAAGGGAAGGAAGGAUGCAAAGAAAGAACGUAGCUGGCCUACUAUAGCUUGGAUCUUAAACGUCUGCCCAAGAGAGGUCUCUGUGCUGAAGGUGUGGUCCUCAGCUUGUGGCCUACAGGAAGAAGUGAAGUCACAGGGGCUGUGGCUUUGAGGGGGAUGUGAGUACCCGGCCCCUUCCUUUUUUUGCACUUUCCUCCGAUAUUCCUCCACCCUGCCCCGUGAUGUGCCGCCCCACUGAGGGCCCAAAACACAAAAGUGACCAUGGACUGAAGCCUCUGAGGCCUUGAGUCAAAUAAACCUUUCCUCCUUAAAAGCUGAUUAUCUCAGGAAUUUUGUCCCAGCCAUGGAAAGGUGACUCACAUGACUUGAAGAUGCCCUAAAAUGGCACCAGGUUUCUUUUUGGUAGGCUCCCAGGCAGGACCCUCGAAAGGGCCUGGGAGGGACAUAAGGGCCGAGGGAGGCAGCGGCGGGACUGCCUGG
rnacentral:lncRNA from 1 species